GGGACACCAAUGUUUGGAAGGAAGGUGGAUGAGCGGCUGAUCUGGCUGAGACUAUCAGCAACAAUCUUGGAGGGUGACUUUUGUGCUUCUCCUUCUUCUAGCUCUCUUUCCUUCUCUGCAACCAUUUGCUCCUACAUAAAAUGAAUGUACUUAGUAACAAGGCCAUACAAAAGUGUUGAACCAGGCAUUUACUUGAGUGUAGUACAUGUAACUUACAUA